rnacentral:tRNA from 1 species
GGCCCUGAAGUGUAAUCACGUUGAAUUGCAAAUUCGAAAAAGCAUCUGCAGAAGUGCCGGGGCUU